rnacentral:misc_RNA from 1 species
GACGAGCCACACAAACGUUAAUCGGAAUUACUGGGCGUAAAGCGCGCGUAGGUGGCUUGAUAAGCCGGUUGUGAAAGCCCCGGGCUCAACCUGGGAACGGCAUCCGGAACUGUCAAGCUAGAGUGCAGGAGAGGAAGGUAGAAUUCCCGGUGUAGCGGUGAAAUGCGUAGAGAUCGGGAGGAAUACCAGUGGCGAAGGCGGCCUUCUGGACUGACACUGACACUGAGGUGUGAAAGCGUGGGUAGCAAACAGG